rnacentral:rRNA from 1 species
AUUGAACGCUGGCGGCAUGCCUUACACAUGCAAGUCGAACGGUAACAGGUCUUCGGAUGCUGACGAGUGGCGAACGGGUGAGUAAUACAUCGGAACGUGCCCGAUCGUGGGGGAUAACGGAGCGAAAGCUUUGCUAAUACCGCAUACGAUCUACGGAUGAAAGCAGGGGACCGCAAGGCCUUGCGCGGACGGAGCGGCCGAUGGCAGAUUAGGGUAGUUGGGUGGGGAUAAAAAGCUUACCAAGCCGACGAUCUGUAGCUGGUCUGAGAGGACGACCAGCCACACUGGGACUGAGACACGGCCCAGACUCCUACGGGAGGCAGCAGUGGGGAAUUUUGGACAAUGGGCGCAAGCCUGAUCCAGCAAUGCCGCGUGCAGGAAGAAGGCC